CAAGGUGUAACGCAGACAGGAUAGCGUGUCUGAUUUGGGAUCAGAAAGUCAUAGGUUCAAAUCCUAUCUCCUUGA
rnacentral:tRNA from 1 species